GAUGAACGCUAGCGGCAAGCCUAACACAUGCAAGUCGAACGGUAACUUUUGGUGCUUGCACCGAAAGACGAGUGGCGAACGGGUGCGUAACGCGUAUGCAAUCUGCCUUUUACUAGGGUAUAGCCCAGAGAAAUUUGGAUUAAUCCCCUAUAAUAUCAUUUAAUCGCAUGAUUUUAUGAUUAAAGCUUCGGCGGUAAAAGAUGAGCAUGCGUCCUAUUAGUUAGUAGGUGAGGUAACGGCUCACCUAGACUCCGAUAGGUAGGGGUCCUGAGAGGGAGAUCCCCCACACUGGUACUGAGACACGGACCAGACUCCUACGGGAGGCAGCAGUGGGGAAUUUUCCGCAAUGGGCGAAAGCCUGACGGAGCAACGCCGCGUGAGGGAUGAAGGCCUCUGGGCUGUAAACCUCUUUUAUCAAGGAAGAAGAUCUGACGGUACUUGAUGAAUAAGCCACGGCUAAUUCCGUG
rnacentral:rRNA from 1 species